UCUCCACCCCAUGUGGGCCAGAGUCCCUAGCCCACUGGCUAAGUUUUUGUUGCAGUCUCUAUUCAGCAAACUCCGUUAGUUUUUUGGGCUCCAAAAACCAUAGGAGUUAGCUGCUUUCUCAUAUUCCCUUGUGCAGAUGACUGGUUUUUUGGCUUCUUCUCUCCUGGUGGGUUGUGGGCUCUCCAGGGUUUUGGGCUGCUACCACACUAGGUAGCUACCUUGAAACCCACUCAGGCUUCUACUGUUCUGCACAGAAGCAGUUAGCUUCACAUCUGAAUUGUCAUUGUCGGAAGAUUUAGUGAGACAAUUGGGAUUUCUUAAAAGGAGAAAUUAGUUAAAAAAGAAUUUCUUUCCCCAAAUUAAAAAAUGGGAAACAUUUUUUCAAUGGAGGUAAUUUGGUCUCUGUUUGAUAAUACAAUUGACAGUCUGAAAAUGGAACAAUUAAAUGAGAGGAUAAUUAAUGUAGAUGGGAUUUAUGUAAUAUCAAUUAUAAAUAUUAUUUGUUUGGUCAUUUCUGUUUUAUCAUUUAAAAAGUUGGUUAAUGUGAGUGCUAAGAUGAAAAUUUUAGAAAAAUUUGUUAAAACAGAUCAUAGAGAUAUUCAGGCCCAGACAGAAGAAUUUAAAGGUGAACCAAUCUCAGCAUUCCAUUAUAUGGUUACAGAGAGAUACAGCAUGAGGCUUUCAAACAGUCAACCUUAAUCUAUCCAGUAACCUUACAGGAACUGCCAAAUGUUCAAGGCUAUGUAAGAGCUGACUGGACUCCUGGGCAAAUGUUAGAUUUGAGAAGAUUUAAAGAAUCUAUAGUGUCAUAUGGUAUGCAUUUCUCAUUUGUGAAGUAGAUGUUAAAUUUGUGGUCAACUUGUAAUAGACUGGAGAGAUUUCAUUACAGCUAUCUUAGAAGGUGGUCCACAGUUACAACAGAGAACCUGGUGGAAAGAGGAGGCUAAUACUAUAGAACAAGGGAGUAGGGCUAGAGUAUGGAAAUCUCCCAAGGUCAACUUCUUGGAGAGGGAGAUUAUGAUAAUGUAGAAAGGAAAUCUCUAUAUGAUGACUACACCCUAGCAUUAUGCCAAAUGGCAGCCUUGAAUGCUUGGAACAGAACUGAAGAAGCAGGAAAGAAAACUGAGUCAUUUACAAAGGUUAUACAGGGCCUAAAAGAAACCUUCACUGAUUUCUUACAAAGGCUGCCUUCAGCAGUAAAUAGAAUGAUACCAAAUUCAGAAGCUAGACAGAUAAUAAUUGUAUCUCUGGCUUUUGAAAAUGCUAAUGCACAAUGCAAAAGAAUAAUUAGGCCAUUAAAGGCAAGAUCAGCACCCUUGGAGGAAUGGAUCUGAGAUACAAUGAAUAUUGACUCUCUUGACCAUGAUGAUACUUGGAUAGGAGAGGUCAUUUCCAGAGUUUUGAAGAAAAAUAGUAAUGUCAGAUGUUUCAACUGUGAUAAACAAGGUCACCUAAAAAGGGACUGUAAACAGGGCGUUCCUAGAAACAAUGUUUUUUCAAGGAACAAUGCCAACAGAACACCCCUCCCUUCUGGAUUAUGCAGAAGGUGUGGCAAAGGCAAACAUUGGACUAAUGAAUGUAGAUCAACAAGGGACAGACAAGGUAAUCCUUUGUCUUUGCUGUCAAGAAACUCCCUGAGGCACCUUCUGUAGGUCCCCAUGACAAAUUUGGUUUAGUCCUUUCCUGUUAUCGUAGAAGAAACCCCUUCCCAGAGCAAUUAAAGAGCCUAAUGCCUAUUAUAAAACAAACAAACAAACAAACAAGCAAACAAACAAAAAAUACCCCAUACUGCUCUGGAUGAUAGGACAGCUAUAGAAGAGAGAAAAAAAAUUCAGGAGAAACCAUAAAUCAACAUUGAUAAAGAUUAUAUUGGGAACCUCCCCAAAGUUGUGGUUGGAGAAGGAUUUUGUUUUUGUUAUUCAGAAAAAUUAAAACAACCAUCUUGAAGAAUUUAAAGACAUUGGAACAGAUAAACAUCCAAAGAAGAAGAGAGAACUACCUGGAAAAAAUUACCAAGGAAAGGAAUAAUCUGACCCAUGUGAUCUUUGAAGUCUUUGAAAAGAUAACGAGACCCCACAACCACAAUUCCAUCAGGACGAUGAUGAUACCACUAAGAUGACAAACACCAUCCAAAGAUUAGCUUUGGACUACAAACUGCUCAGGACAAUUUCGAGAUGAUUAGCUGAGAUGAUCCAGUUUCACAGACUACUAGAGCAAGAACUUGAGACAAGCCCUGCACUUUUCCAUUAUGCAGAGACUGGACAACAAAUGAUAUAGAUACCUCUCCCAGGACUUGACAAUUAACCCAAAAUUUUUCUUUUCAGGAUCCCCUCAACCCCAAGAGAGCAGGAAGUAAUUUUAAGAACAUGAUGCCAAUAUUCCUACAGGUAGUGUUUGGUCUGUCAAUGGGUUAUGGAUAAUUGUCAUUGUUUAGGAGGGUUGGUUACAAUUUGUUAAUUGUUAAUGGUCAGGAAUAAAGCUGAACAAAGGAAAUUAGAUUUGGGGUUCUUGUUUAAAAAAAGCAAACAAAACAAAAACAAAAAACAAACAAAAAAGUUACAGAAAUGAUGGAUAAAGGGUAGAUUGUUGAAUCUACCCUGAAAAGAUAAAAGGAGAGGAUAUAGAUAUGAUAAGAUAAAAAGGUGGAUUAUUCACUCUACUUUUAGAAAGCAACUACUAGUUUUAAAUAUUUUACAUUGGAUUAGAUUUUUGUAUAUUGUGUACAGAUUUUGUAUAUUGAUACAAAUUUGAGAUGAAUUUUGUUAGAAUGUACUGUACAUAUAUUUCUACUCUUGUUCAAGGUAUUGUAUCUAUACAGUUCAUUUAACAAUGUAAUGCAAAUUGCUAGUUCUUGAAAGUUAUUAUUACCAACUAAUUAGGAUAGAAAGAAAUGCAGGUUAGUUGUUAAUCAUCCAUUUCAAUGUCAGGUUAGGUAUGUUUUCAAGGUCAAACAGAUAUAUUUUAGAUAAACAGAUCAUCUUCAAAACUUCAGAGAUCUACAGAAUAUGGCAUUUAAGAUGUUUUAGUAACAUAGAUUCUUUUUUUUAAUGACAAUGAGACAUGUCUGCUCCUGGCAGCACCAAUCUACUUCAGAGAAGAUGAUAGGUAUCGAAGACACUCCAUAUGGAGUUUACUUUCUUUGUGGCAAAAGCAAGCCACUGGGCAAGAAAAUGCCCUUGCCUUGACUGCUGCCAGUAUGCUGUCCAAAUGGACAAGAAGGACACAAAAGAAAGGACUGCUGAACCUUGCCAAGACAAGGUAGGAAGGCCCUUUGGAAAAUCUUGCUGCACAGAUAAAUCUGUCAGAUACACUAAGCCUGUUGGUUGAAGAUGGAUGCCCCAAUGUUGCAGAGGAACCUUGGGUGACUGUCAAGGCAGCCAGCUGUUUCUGUCAUUUCUUGUAUUUUUGGAAGUUGCUUGCCUGUACUUCCUGUUUACUUAGGUACUAUUCUUUCUUUCUUGGGUCUCUGAUAGAGUUGAAGACUGGAUAAAUAUAGUCAUAGUUUUUUCUGUUAACAAAUUCAGAAAAGAAACUCACUAAAGAGGUGUAAAGUGUUUAAGUUUGAAAGACAUCAAAAGAUAGCUUUUGGUUGGUAAUACAGGUUAAGAUAGAAAGUGAAUUAGGUACAACAUUUUGGACUCACCAAAAUAGAAUAAAUAAUGGAGUAUUUUCUCUGAAUCUGCCAAAUGUUAAUGGACUGGAUGUUGUUAAUAUAAUUCUUGACUGUAUAAAUUGUAUAUACUCAUUGUAUAUAGUUUUUCUUAUAUUAGUUAUAACCUUCUUUUAUUAUUUUAGAUAAAAAAGGAGAAAUGUGGUGAUAUAUUGUGUACCCUAAUAAACUUGCCUGGGGAUCAGAGGACAGAGCCAGCCACUAGAUUAGACAUAGAGUUUAGGCAGUAGUGGCACACAUCUUUAAUCCCAGCACUUGAGAUCUCAUGCCUUUGCAUAGAAAGCACACAUGCCUUUCAUCCCAGGAAAUGGUGUCUGGGCAGAGAAAGGUAUAUAAAGUGUGAGGAAACAAGAACUCACUCUUCAGGCUGAUAAUUUUAUAGAGGUAAGAACUAGUAGCUGGCUGUUCUGCUUCUCUGAUCUUUCAGCUUUCACCCUGAUAUCUGGCUCUGUUUUUUUUUUUUUUUAUUAAAAGACCAUCUAAGUUUCUAACAACAGAGCACAAUCUUUUGAAAGUCCCUUCUAAUUUUACAGUGUUUCAAUGCUGAUGAUGUAGCUCAAGUGGUUGGGGACAGUUUUUAUAUCACUUAGUAAACAGCAAUGGUAUUAGGAUAAAGUCACCUGUCCAUUGUCUCCCUGCUUGUCCCAGUUCCUGAGAAGUAUCUUCUUCUAGACUGCUAGACUGAGGCAAAGAGAUACACACAGAAGAAUACUGCCUGCCAUGGAACAAUCCUUCUGUGUACUGGAAACAUUGAUUGGAGAUGCAUUCUGUUCUUGUCAGUCAUGCUACUGUUAAAGUUUUGAGGUGAAAAUAACAGAAAUCAUUUCUGAACAUGAAGUCUGUUGGAGGAUAUGUUCCAAAGUCUCUGAUGAUUAGAGGCUUCACCUUGGUUGUCUUAUAGCCAGGGAGAGUUGCCAACUCCUGAGAGAUCUGUCUGUCGAGUUUAGGCUCUGAAGUUUUCAGGGGCCGGUAGGAGCAGGACACUGUCACAGCUUCCCAAGGCCCAGUCUCUUGUUUUCGCCAGCACCAAUUCAACACUGUACCCCUUUCCUCAUAUACUUCAUUUUCUUUUAAACUCAGGACUGACAUGAGUCCACUGGAGAGUUUCAGCUCCGGAAGCAAUGUUUCCUAGCUCCAAAGAAAGUUAAGAGCACAAUCUCCAGCUUCUAACUGCCAUGAUACAAAUUCUCCAACAUGGGAAUGAUUUUCAAAAACUCUUGGUACAUUUUGUUUUUCUAUAACCAAGUGCCUGAGCCUGAGCACUUUAUAAGAAAAAGGUGUGUUUGUUUUAUAAUUCUGAUAACUGGAAAGCACAAAUGGUGAGCCAUGUGAUAGCUGGUAUCUGACGAGGAACCCUUUGGCCUGGUGACAAAAUGACGUGAUGUGGAAGUAGGAACCAAUAGCGUGCAGAAUGGGUGCAUGUGUGGACAAGGAGGCAAAAUAACAGUGGGGAGCUGAAAAGAGCUCACUCUUCAAAACAAAUUUUUUCUCAGAAACUCAUCCAAACACGGGGAACUUGGUCCAUUCUGGAGCUGUAAUCAUUCAUGAUCAACCCAUGAGGACAGAGACUCCUGACCUUCCACAAGGCUCCACCUCUUACAGGCACCACAACUCCACCACCAUCAUACUAGGGACCAAGCUUCAUGUGAGCAUUUAAGGGGCUAUGUGUCAAAGGACAGUAUUUCCCACACACUAGAAGCUGUCCUUUUGUGCUAAUUCUUAUCUUAAUGCCUCAUGUUGUUGAACCCAAGGACAAGGUUUCAAGCCUGGACCCCUUACCUGAGAACACAUGGCUUUCUGAGGCUCCUUCAUUCCUCAGAUGAGCCCUGCUCAGAUGGGUGGAGAGCAAAACUAGAGGGAACUGAAGAGGAAUCAUGAUGACCCCAUGAAGGAAGACUGCAUGGGACCCAGUGUGCUUCUGGAACCCUGAGUGCUGACGGGCAGAAGACUGGAACAGCAAGUGACGCUGCAUAAUGAGGGUGAUGGGUAGAGCACCAGUGUGCAUCUGCCAUCACACAUAUGUGGGGGCUCUGCAAACAGGCUCCAGCUGCCAGCCAAGGGAAUGCUGGUACAAUGUGGAAAGAAUAUUUGGCCAGGCAAAGGGUUUUCUACUACCAAUAUUAUUGCUAAAUGUAAAGAUAAUGUCAUUUCUGUAAUUAUGUCUGUAAUUAUAUACAUAAUUUUUAAAUUUGUUGGAAGUUAGGGUUAGGUUGGCAGAUGUGUUCUUUUCUUCUUCUUCUUCUUCUUCUCCUCCUUCUUCUUCUUCUUCUCUCUCUCUCUCUCUCUCUCUCUCUCUCUCUCUCUCUCUCUCCUCUCUCUCUCU